rnacentral:miRNA from 1 species
AGACAGCUACAGUGUACUCAUAUAUGUGUGUGUGUGUGUAUGUAUGUAUGUAUGUAUGUAUGUAUAUACAUACACAUAGAUACACACACACACAUAUAUAUGUACACAUAUAUA